GAAUACGGUCAGAGGCUCUUCAAAUUCUACCAUCAAGCCAUGUUCUCUUUCCAUUGGCCUGCCCCGUCCUUGCCUUCCCCAUCUCAGGAUUUAAAUACCACUGAAAUUGUAUUCUCAAACUUGAUUGUAGUUAAAAGUAAUGAUCUCAUACAGCCAGGGACUAGCUAUGAAGCAUUAGGCUAAUGGUUUAAUCUCUCUGCCACCUAUUUUCUUCUAUCACCCACCAGCAGGCAAUUCCAGGCUCCUACCUUCGAUUACUAGAUUUCUGAUUGGUGAGCAGACCAAACCAGACCUGCUUCUGUACUCUCAACCAUCUUCAUGCUGUUUCUCUACUAACCAUUCUCUUCCUACUAGAACUCUGGAAACAAUAAUCAAAUCAACAAAGCCAAAUCACUCCUUUUUGGCCACUUUUCUCCCAUGUGAGCUGUCUUCUGCUAUUGGAAGUUCCAUCCAUAAUCAAGUGGAUAGUCAGUGGAAGAGGCGAUCUGGAUUAUCUGCUGAAGCUGUGGCAAAUGGGAAACCAGACAGACAUCAUUAGCUCUUCUGACAAACUGAUCAGCAGGUAGGAGGAUUCCUGGCUCUUCACCAUCAUCUUGACACUCCAGAACACGCUGGAUACAAUCUCGCUUUUAAUCUUUCCUAAAAUGUGAAAUUCCCAAAAGCCAGUCAACCCAACCCACGCAGCUGUUAUUAAAUACCUACAGUAUACAAGGUACUAAGCUAGAAUGUAUGUAUAAUUCAAUAUUUAAUAUGAAAAUGAAACUGAAAAAUGAAAUAAAAUGAAAAUGGAAAAA